rnacentral:rRNA from 1 species
AGUGAACGCUGGCGGUAGGCCUAACACAUGCAAGUCGAACGGCAGCACAGUAAGAGCUUGCUCUUACGGGUGGCGAGUGGCGGACGGGUGAGGAAUACAUCGGAAUCUACUUUUUCGUGGGGGAUAACGUAGGGAAACUUACGCUAAUACCGCAUACGACCUACGGGUGAAAGCAGGGGAUCUUCGGACCUUGCGCGAUUGAAUGAGCCGAUGUCGGAUUAGCUAGUUGGCGGGGUAAAGGCCCACCAAGGCGACGAUCCGUAGCUGGUCUGAGAGGAUGAUCAGCCACAAGGGAACUGAGACACGGUCCAGACUCCUAGUGGAGGCAGCAUUGGGGAAUAUUGGACAAUGGGCGCAAGCCUGAUCCAGCCAUACCGCGUGGGUGAAGAAGGCCUUCGGGUUGUAAAGCCCUUUUGUUGGGAAAGAAAAGCAGCAGGUUAAUACCCCGCUGUUCUGACGGUACCCAAAUAAUAAGCACCGGCUAACUUCGUG